rnacentral:rRNA from 1 species
UACGGAGGGUGCAAGCGUUAAUCGGAAUUACUGGGCGUAAAGCGUGCGUAGGCGGUUCGUUAAGUCUGUUGUGAAAGCCCCGGGCUCAACCUGGGAAUGGCAAUGGAUACUGGCGAGCUAGAGUGUGUCAGAGGAUGGUGGAAUUCCCGGUGUAGCGGUGAAAUGCGUAGAGAUCCGGAAGAACACCGGUGGCGAAGGCGAUCAUCUGGGGUUGUUCUGACACUGAGGAGCGAAAGCUAGGGGAGCAAACGGG